AUGUGGCGGGGGGCAGGCUCUCAAGUGGGAGACAGCUCGCCUCCCCCAACGACGACAACUUCGACCUCAAGUGGAAGUGGGAGGCCAAGUCCAAGCCUGGCGCCGUUGGCAAGGCCAAAACCAAGUGAGGCACUGAGGAAGCCAACAAGGAUGACAAGAAGAAGCCGGCGAGGAAGUGUGUCCAGAGCAGGGAGAUCCCCGUUGGCUGGACGUCCAGAUCGAGACUUCAUUUGA
rnacentral:rRNA from 1 species